rnacentral:rRNA from 1 species
GUCUACGGCCAUGCCACCCUGAACGAGCUCAAUCUUUGUCUGAUCUCGGAAGCUAAGCAGGGUCAGGCCUGGUUAGUACUUGGUUAGGAGACCACCUAGGAAGACCAGGUGUUGUAGGUG